GACGAACGCUGGCGGCGUGCUUAACACAUGCAAGUCGAACGAUGAACCCGGAGCUUGCUCUGGGGGAUUAGUGGCGAACGGGUGAGUAACACGUGAGUAACCUGCCCUGGACUCUGGGAUAAGCGUUGGAAACGACGUCUAAUACCGGAUAGGACCUUGGAUCGCAUGAUCUGGGGUGGAAAGUUUUUUCGGUCUGGGAUGGACUCGCGGCCUAUCAGCUUGUUGGUGAGGUAAUGGCUCACCAAGGCGUCGACGGGUAGCCGGCCUGAGAGGGUGACCGGCCACACUGGGACUGAGACACGGCCCAGACUCCUGCGGGAGGCAGCAGUGGGGAAUAUUGCACAAUGGGCGAAAGCCUGAUGCAGCAACGCCGCGUGCGGGAUGACGGCCUUCGGGUUGUAAACCGCUUUUAGUAGGGAAGAAGGGCUUCGGCUUGACGGUACCUGCAGAAAAAGGACCGGCUAACUACGUG
rnacentral:rRNA from 1 species